GGUCCCGUAGCUCAGUAGGAUAGAGCACGUGAUUCCUAAUCACGGGGUCGCAAGUUCGAAUCUUGCCGGGAUCACCA
rnacentral:tRNA from 2 species